UUAGUGUCAUCUUCCCAGUAAACAACCUGUUGGCGACAAAGAGCAUGCAAAUGUGAUACACGGCGGUGGAGAGGAGGAAAAUGUGUUCACUGGCAGCAUGUGUUAGUGUGUCACCUGCAUUAUAUGGAACUGGGAAGGACGUGUGUUGUUUUUGUUGUUGUUUGAAGAGAUUAUGUCAAUGCAUUUAUUCCACGUGACGGGAAAUUUUAAAGACACAUUUGUUUAUUGUUUUCUGACACAGGAGGAUGCUGCGGAGUGCUGCAGAAACAGCAAAGGUUCCUGUUGAGUUACCAAUAGAUCUCUGGAUAAUCAAUGAAUCGAUGAGUCAUUAAAGGCUAAGUAGCCCAGAAUCCUUUCAGGGCUGUAGGAAAGCACCUGCCAAUUCACUUCAAUCUCAGAGGAUGAGACACUCCUGGCCCAGACGCCUGAUGGCAUCCCACUUGGUUCUGAAAACAAGACAGGAAGAACACACACAAGCAGCUGAGGGAGAGGAGCUGCGUGGAGGUGAAGUGUGGUGAACGGGAGAAGAAUUUGUGGCUCAUAAUCUUUUAUUUGGAGAAAUUUUUCCCACAAGAUGAAGGACCAGCCUCAGACAGAACCCUACAUUUCUGUGUAAAUCUUGCAGCACACAUGUUGCAAUCACCAAACAGAAAACGACAAGUUUCUGUUGCCACUGAGAGCCGUACACAUGGGUGGAAACACGGAGCAUUUGCAGGAGUGAGAACAGGGCUACUCAAGUGUGUAGUACCAGAUUUGGUUUCGUUGAACAGCAGGUUCACCUGCGGUCUAGACACACACACACACACACAUGCACACACUACAGAAGUGUACAGAAGAAGUUUGACAGUGUGUUCACUGCAUUGCACCACUGGAGACUUAGAAGAAAAGCCACGACUGCAGAGCUCUGCACCGACUUUUGUCACUUCACUGAAGGGCGAUCAUUAAACCACAGCAUAAAUCUUCAUCACCUGAAAAUAUAUACUUUACUCAAAUACCAAAGUGUUGUUUUUGAAACAUGUUUUUCAAGGACAUCAAUUUGCACAUUGAUUUUUUUUAGGUUCAGGAAGUCCGUCUCCAGGAAAACAGGUUAACACUUUAGCGUGGUGUAUUUAUAUAAAGCAUCUGAGGCUGAGAAGCAAAGAAAAUCAGUGUUUUGUCAAAAAGUCCCUGAGUCACUCUCUCUUCUAAUUACAGUUCUAAUCCUACAAACAAGUAGACUUCUGUGUUUUACCAUAAUAAAGGCAGCAUGAAGCAGCAUAUAUUCACAACUUCCUACCUCUCUGCUGCUGUAAAUAUAUACAUAUAUAUAUAUAUAUAUAUUAUACAAAAAAACACAGCAAUGGGGAAAGUGGCUUUUAUUUGGUGCAGCUUUUUCACAUUUUAUACCAUCUAUUGGACUUAACAAUGGAAAGUGGCUUACACACAGUGCAGCUUUAGGUCUAUGGAAUAAAUCUAAAUAAAUAUAUGGCUCUUAAAAAUGGGAAGUAAACCACACAAGCUGCAGGAUGAGUCCUGGUAUUGUUAUGAUACAAAAAACACAUGACUACUACACCACAAGUUCAAUCUUCUGGAAACAUCAUUGACAUUGUCCAUCAGGGAUGCGUUCUCAUCUAUUCUAACGUCCAGAGUCCGAGCCUUUGGUCCUUUUACAUUAAAAUUGAAUAUCAUAGCCUCUCACGUUCAUACAGUACCAUAUUUUUAGCCUGUCAAUUUCUAAACUCAAAAAUAUAUCAACACUUACAUUCAUUGUUCAUUAAGAUUCAAAUGUUCAACCCAAACUUUAAAAAAUAUCGGUUGUAUUCUUCUGCAGGAAGUGUAUCGACUCUAUUAGCAGCGGCUCCAAAAACCGGUGCAAAAAAGCAACCAAGUGUUUGUAGUCUAGAGACUUGGAGUGUGUGAAUUUCCAGAAUCACACAUCUGUGCAAAUAUAGCUCUUGGAUUACACAAGGUGUUAGUCAGCUGGGAUGUGCCGGUCGACCGGCUAAUGUUUAUCACUAUGUGUUCACGUUGCCAAAGUUUUUGGAGGUCACCAAACUCAACAGAUGUGUUUGUCUGCAAUGUUUUGGCCACAGGCUGCUUUUGGACAUGGGUGUAAAAAUAACCGGGGGAAUAAACUAAAUGUACUUGUCACCAUUAAAAGUCGUCUCAAUAAACGCUGUGGCCAGUCACGUUUUAAUUGCAGCAUUAACAGCAACAUAACAUGUUGCAAUGUUUGCCAAACAUCAUGCUUUGGGCAGUCAUAACACACAACUGCUGCUGGUAAACAACCCAGUGACAGCCCACCACCACACACUCAGAGGAACCACUGAUCUAAAUACCAACUCACUCUCAGUCCUGCUCAGCCAGCCACAAGUGUGUUGAUAUUUGUAAACCCUGGGUCUGCGCUCGUAUACAGCACCGUAAGUGUGCUUUAAAACAGCUUUUUUACCAAACGACUUUUACAUGUGUUCUUUUUCCGUGUGUCUCUUUUAUGCAGGUGCUUUCAUAUCAGUGUGAUCUUUGUUCUCACAGAUCUUUGCAGCGGUGAAUAAAAAAAAAACACA